CAGCUCAAGAUUGGCUCUUCUACCUUCCUUGUCUGUGACCAGCCUGAUGCUUCCUCCUCAGCAGUAAAAUUAGCGGAGAUGGAGAAUGGAAUUUUCUUCAGAAUGGAAACAGACGAUGUGGUAGGGGCCUUAGCAAGGGCUAUGAAAGCUGGAGCUAAGAAGGUGGGUGAGGUUAUAGAGGAAGCAUGUGUGUGCACUGGAGUGCAAGCUGGAACAGUGAUUGAUCCUUUCGGUGUUGCAUGGACCAUUACUUCCAUCUCCGGCGCUUCGUCCUCAAACAAAUGUUGCUGAUGUGAUAAUAUAUAAUCAUAUAAAACUAUUAAAUGUCCUUUGUGAUGGUUUUGUUCAAUUAUUGAUGCACUAGCUAGCGUCAUAUCACAGUUUAGGAUAAGCUUGUUGUGGUUGUCUACUUGUCUUUGGUGUUUUCUUUCUUGCUUUUAUAUAAAGAACUAGUUUGAAUGGUUUUCUUUUA